rnacentral:tRNA from 1 species
GUCUUUGUAGUUUAUAUAAAACCUUAGUCUUGUAAACUAAAAUUGGGCCCCCAUAGACU